rnacentral:rRNA from 1 species
AACGAACGCUGGCGGCAUGCCUAACACAUGCAAGUCGAACGAGACCUUCGGGUCUAGUGGCGCACGGGUGCGUAACGCGUGGGAACCUGCCCUUAGGUUCGGAAUAACUCCCCGAAAGGGGUGCUAAUACCGGAUAAUGUCUUCGGACCAAAGAUUUAUCGCCUUUGGAUGGGCCCGCGUUGGAUUAGCUAGUUGGUAGGGUAAAAGCCUACCAAGGCGACGAUCCAUAGCUGGUCUGAGAGGAUGAUCAGCCACACUGGGACUGAGACACGGCCCAGACGCCUACGGGAGGCAGCAGCGGGGAAUAUAGGACAAUGGGCGAAAGCCUGAUCCAGCAAUGCCGCGGGAGUGAUGAAGGCCUUAGGGUUGUAAAGCUCUUUUACCCGGGAUGAUAAUGACAGUACCGGGAGAAUAAGCUCCGGCUAACUCCGUG